rnacentral:snRNA from 1 species
GUGCCCGCUUUGGCAGCACAUUCACUAAAACUGGAACAAUAGAGAGAAAUUAGCGCGGCGCGGCCCUGUGCAAGGACGACAUGCAAAUUCAUGAAGUGUUCCUUAUUUUU